UAGGGAAUCUUCGGCAAUGGACGGAAGUCUGACCGAGCAACGCCGCGUGAGUGAAGAAGGUUUUCGGAUCGUAAAGCUCUGUUGUAAGAGAAGAACGAGUGUGAGAGUGGAAAGUUCACACUGUGACGGUAUCUUACCAGAAAGGGACGGCUAACUACGUGCCAGCAGCCGCGGUAAUACGUAGGUCCCGAGCGUUGUCCGGAUUUAUUGGGCGUAAAGCGAGCGCAGGCGGUUAGAUAAGUCUGAAGUUAAAGGCUGUGGCUUAACCAUAGUACGCUUUGGAAACUGUUUAACUUGAGUGCAAGAGGGGAGAGUGGAGUUCCAUGUGUAGCGGUGAAAUGCGUAGAUAUAUGGAGGAACACCGGUGGCGAAAGCGGCUCUCUGGCUUGUAACUGACGCUGAGGCUCGAAAGCGUGGGGAGCAAACAGGAUUAGAUACCCUGGUAGUCCACGCCGUAAACGAUGAGUGCUAGGUGUUAGACCCUUUCCGGGGUUUAGUGCCGCAGCUAACGCAUUAAGCACUCCGCCUGGGGAGUACGACCGCAAGGUUG
rnacentral:rRNA from 1 species